rnacentral:tRNA from 1 species
GCAGUCGUGGCCGAGUGGUUAAGGCGUCUGACUCGAAAUCAGAUUCCCUGUGGAGUGUAGGUUCGAAUCCUACCGGCUGCG